GAUGAACGCUGGCGGCGUGCCUAAUACAUGCAAGUCGAGCGAACAGACGAGGAGCUUGCUCCUCUGACGUUAGCGGCGGACGGGUGAGUAACACGUGGAUAACCUACCUAUAAGACUGGGAUAACUUCGGGAAACCGGAGCUAAUACCGGAUAAUAUAUUGAACCGCAUGGUUCAAUAGUGAAAGACGGUUUUGCUGUCACUUAUAGAUGGAUCCGCGCCGCAUUAGCUAGUUGGUAAGGUAACGGCUUACCAAGGCAACGAUGCGUAGCCGACCUGAGAGGGUGAUCGGCCACACUGGAACUGAGACACGGUCCAGACUCCUACGGGAGGCAGCAGUAGGGAAUCUUCCGCAAUGGGCGAAAGCUUGACGGAGCAACGCCGCGUGAGUGAUGAAGGUCUUCGGAUCGUAAAACUCUGUUAUUGGGGAAGAACAAAUGUGUAAGUAACUAUGCACGUCUUGACGGUACCUAAUCAAAAAGCCACGGCUAACUACGUG
rnacentral:rRNA from 1 species